UGCCAGCCGCCGCGGUAAGACGAACCGGACAAACGUUAUUCGGAAUUACUGGGCUUAAAGAGUACGUAGGCGGUCUUGUAGGUUGGGUGUGAAAUCCCACAGCUCAACUGUGGAACUGCGCUCAAAACCCCAAGACUUGAGGGAAGCAGAGGUAAGCGGAACUGAUGGUAGAGCGGUGAAAUGCGUUGAUAUCAUCAGGAACACCAGUGGCGAAGGCGGCUUACUGGGCUUCUACUGACGCUGAGGUACGAAAGCUAGGGUAGCGAACGGGAUUAGAUA
rnacentral:rRNA from 1 species